ensembl:lncRNA
AUGGAGAGCCUCUCUGCUAUGAUGUCUGACUCCCCUGAAAUCCAGAGGGCAUCAUCAUCAUGGACUUUCAGGCAGCAGCAAGCCUCACAAAGAUGGAAGGAGGCAAGGCCAUUCCACCUUAAAAGCCUCAUCCAAACUCAGGAUGUUGGCCAACCAUCUUGUAGCCAUUGCAGCAAGCCUGCGGUUGUUAGAUGCAGAGAGUGUCUACCAGAUCAGUGGUUCUGUGUAACCUGCGAUACCAAGAAUCACAGGAGAGGGCCACUCCAUGAUAGGGAGUCAGUCCUUGAGGGCUUUUUUAAAGCUAGUAGCCCAAAUGUCUUAAAGUGUGCCAGCUGAUUGUUUCUAAGAGCUCAGGUAUCCAUGGGUUUGUUUUCUUAUAACCCAAGGGCGUUAUGACAUGCACCAGCUAUUGUUUGCAUGCCAAGCAUGCCAGCAGCAGUGGGCUCCAGAGUUCAUGGACCUCGUAAACAGUGGAUACUGGCCAGCUUCCACCAGCUCUUCUGCUUUGUAUUCCAUCAAUCUUUUCAGCAGUGUAAGAGAAACACUGUCCAGACAAGCCUUUGCAAAGCUGCUGGAGCAUCAUACAAAGUGUGGGGUGGGCGGGUAAGUGUUCAGCAUAUUAUAGAACGGUUUACCAUGUAGACAUCUCCAAAGUAACAUUUAAUAUAAUGCAUCUUUCAGUCAGGACCAGUGUGCGGGGACACGCUGCAGCGUAGCUUCCUGGAGUUUUCCUAUUGUGCUUUUGAGGAAGAUAACUUGUCCUGCGGUGCACCUUUCACCUGCCCCGCUUGCACCCCAGACAUGCUGGCAAUCUCUGUGGAGGGCAACAGGAAGCUAUACCGGUUUCUCCAAAACGGAGGGUGAUAUUUUUUUCUUCCAGUAUAGAUUGAUCUGGAUUUUUUUAUAUUCAAUAUUCAGCAUGGAUAAAUGUUGUUUCGUUUCUUCCUCAGCUCUGACUCUUCGUUUUUUUGAAGGGGCAUUUAUCGCAGAAGACACAUCUGUGUCUGGAUUUGUUGAUGUCUUGCAUAAAGCUGUGAAACAGGCAGGUUUCAAAUUAUUUGUUAAAGGUCCCCUAGAAUUUGAAAUUGAAUUUAUCUUGGCAUAGUUAAAUAACAAGAGUUCAGUAUAUGGACAUGACAUACAGUGAGUCUCAAACACCAUUGUUUUCUCCUUCUUAUUUAAACCUCGUUUUUGAAAAACACCCCUGAAAAACAGGCGAAUCUCCACAUAACAUCGACUGUGACGCAACAGUCGGGAUCAUUAUGUGUACGCCUCCAAAAAUUCUCAUAUGCCAGCCCAUGUUCAAGGCCAGGCAGAACUUUGCAGCCAAAUCAUCGGAAGUUCUGCAGGUGAAGAAACAGAGGAUCAUAGGGAAAAUGGCAGAUCAUGGAAAUGAAUGUUAUGUUCCAGGCUGUGCAGGAGAUGUGAGGACUUUUCAUACCCUUCCCACAGAAAAGAAAUCUCAACAGGCGUGGUUGAUGUUUAUCUAUAAUCGGAUACCGCAACAGUUUAAUUAGAAGUUGUUAGUUUGCUCUUCCCAUUUGACCACGGACUGUUUUUCUAACCUGGGACAAUAUCAAGCAGGCUUCUCUCAGCGUCUCAUACUGAAGAAGGGGGCAAUUCCAACUAUAUUCCCGCAAGCGGUAAGUAGUGAUUUUAUUAACAAUAAUUUACACUGUUAUCUAGAUCCAGCGCACGAUCCUAGUACAGUAACAAAUAGCAAACUCCAAGUAACUAGCAUACAUAACUAAAUAGUGUGACAAAGUGUUUACGCUGAGGUUAAUAUUUCUUGCCUGUGGUGUCAUAUAAAUCUACAAAAUACUACUGUAGAUACAUAUGUAAAUUAACCACUAUUAUGACGUCUGGCACAUGGCGAAAGGUAAUGCUUGCAUCUUUGAAAGAAAAUACAUUUCAAAUAUUCAUGGUAUUAUUAGCUAUCCAUAUUUCUGAAUGUUUGGUGUAGAAGAUGUGCAUAAGAGCAUCACCAACCACCUGUACUGGUCUGCCAGCAGCUCUGAUUCAGGACCUGAGAAGGUAGCCACUGGAUCUCUAUCAUUCACACACAUUCUGACCCAGCGUUCCCUCGGUGUCAACAUGAACAAAGGGUGUCUAAGGACCAUAGCAAGUGGUUUCAUCCAGGUGUGUAACCUCAAUGUGUUAUUUGCCAAGUAAACAGUAAAAAGCAUGUUAUGUUAAUCCUACAAUAUUCAUGUGUUUUAUAAAUAACAUCACACUGAUUUCCCCCAAGGUUCAACAGCACUGAAUGGGCUUCAUAGGGUCCUGAUAAACAAGAGAGUCCUUUCAGAUGUAGAGAAGCUGAGCCCACAUUACCAGACAUCAACUGUGGAGUCCUUUCACAAAGUCAUCUUGCACUUUGCACCUAAAAAUGUUGUCUUCCCCUUCAUUGGAAUGCUAUGCAGGUAUGUCUUCUCCCUCACAACUUGAACAUAGGUCAGAACACAACACAUAAACAGUUAGGUUUAAAAGGGGGAAUACUAUUGUUUUCUGUCUAGGCAAACUGGUUUUCAUAAUCAAAAUGCAGUGUAGUGCCUUUCAGUUAGAGGUUACAGUUUACAGAAUGGUAUAGAUUUACUGUAUUAGUAUAAGUAUAUAAGUGCUAUUUUUAAUAUUUUCAUAAUUUUAAUAAAUAAAAAAGUUGAAUUAUUCA